rnacentral:rRNA from 1 species
AGAGUUUGAUCCUGGCUCAGAACGAACGCUGGCGGCGCGUCUUAAGCAUGCAAGUCGGGCGGCAGCCGCAGCGAUGCGGCGAGAGCGGCGGACGGGUGAGUAACGCGUGGACAACCGACCCUCCGGACGGGGAUAGCCGCGGGAAACUGCGGAUAAUACCGGAUACGACCCGGGGAGCGAAGGCGCUCCGGGGGAAAGCCGCUGCGGCGGCGCCGGGGGACGGGUCUGCGUCCCAUCAGCUAGACGGCGGGGUGAAGGCCCACCGUGGCGACGACGGGUAGCCGGCCUGAGAGGGUGGACGGCCACAUUGGGACUGAGAACGGCCCAGACUCCUACGGGAGGCAGCAGCUAAGGAUCUUCCGCAAUGGGCGAAAGCCUGACGGAGCGACGCCGCGUGGACGAUGGAGGCCGUGAGGUUGUAAAGUCCUUUUCCGUGGGGUGAAGAGCCGUGCCAGGGAAUGGGUGCGGGGUGACGUGACCACGGGAAUAAGCCCCGGCUAACUACGUGCCAGCAGCCGCGGUAAUAC